rnacentral:rRNA from 1 species
CUUGUAGGCGGUUUGUCGCGUCUGCCGUGAAAUUCCUCAGCUUAACUGGGGGCGUGCGGUGGGUACGGGCAGGCUUGAGUGCGGUAGGGGAGACUGGAAUUCCUGGUGUAGCGGUGGAAUGCGCAGAUAUCAGGAGGAACACCGGUGGCGAAGGCGGGUCUCUGGGCCGUUACUGACGCUGAGGAGCGAAAGCAUGGGGAGCGAACA